rnacentral:rRNA from 1 species
GACGAACGCUGGCGGCGUGCUUAACACAUGCAAGUCGAACGGAAAGGCCCUGCUUUUGUGGGGUGCUCGAGUGGCGAACGGGUGAGUAACACGUGAGUAACCUGCCCUUGACUUUGGGAUAACUUCAGGAAACUGGGGCUAAUAUCGGAUAGGAGCUCCUGCUGCAUGGUGGGGGUUGGAAAGUUUCGGCGGUUGGGGAUGGACUCGCGGCUUAUCAGCUUGUUGGUGGGGUAGUGGCUUACCAAGGCUUUGACGGGUAGCCGGCCUGAGAGGGUGACCGGCCACAUUGGGACUGAGAGACGGCCCAGACUCCUACGGGAGGCAGCAGUGGGGAAUAUUGCACAAUGGGCGGAAGCCUGAUGCAGCAACGCCGCGUGCGGGAUAACGGCCUUCGGGGUGUAAACCACUUUCGCCUGUGACGAAGCGUGAGUGACGGUAAUGGGUAAAGAAGCACCGGCUAACUACGUG